AGCUAAGGACAGGACAAAACAAACACUGGCCUUCAGUACAGCGAGGGGCGAGUCACUGUUGACACACAGCCAGGCUGCCUUCUUUAGUAGUCAAGCCACUGAAAGCAACAUAACUUCGCUAACGUUAGAUGGCUUUGAUGGUGGUAGGCAGUUAUAUUGAAGGCCAGUGAUUGUGGGGGAACUGCCAGAGCUGAACCAGUGACUCUGUGGUUAUGGAGCGUGGCCACCCCCUGUGCCAUGACCUCUUGGCAGUUGAAGCCUGCAGCAGUAGGCCUACACUAAGAAAGAAGGGCCACGUGAUCAUGUACAUCUGACCCCAGGACCAACCUGCUAUGACCAAUGAGGACUUAAACAGUAAUGUUAUACCCCUGUAGAAAUACUGACUCAUUUUCAUAUCAUCUUUAUCAUAUGUGGCCUUUCUAGGGAGUUUUUCCUAGCCACCGUGCUUCUACACCUGCAUUGCUUGCUGUUUGGGGUUUUAGGCUGGGUUUCUG